rnacentral:rRNA from 1 species
GAUUAACGCUGGCGGCAUGCCUAAUACAUGCAAAUCGAACGAUCUUCUUUGAAGAGAGUGGUGAACGGGUGAGUAAUAUAUGUCUAACCUACCCCAACGUGGGGGAUAACUACCUGAAAAGGUAGCUAAUACCGCAUAGGAUAUAGGAUGGUAUCUUCUUAUAUUUAAAGGUGCGUUUGCACCGCGAUGGGAUGGGGACAUACGACAUUAGCUAGUUGGUGAGGUAAGAGCUCACCAAGGCGACGAUGUCUAGCCGGGUUGAGAGACCGACCGGCCACAAGGGGACUGAGACACGGCCCCUACUCCUACGGGAGGCUGCAGUAGGGAAUUUUCCACAAUGGGCGAAAGCCUGAUGGAGCAAUGCCGCGUGAGGGAUGACACAUUUCGGUGCGUAAACCUCUGUUGUUAGGGAAGAACAACUAAGAUAGGAAAUGAUCUUAGCUUGACGGUACCUUUCCAGAAAGUCACGGCAAACUAUGUGCCAGCAGCCGCGGUAAUACAUAGGUGGCAAGCGUUAUCCGGAUUUAUUGGGCGUAAAGAGUGCACAGGUGGUCAAGUAAGUCAGAUGUUAAAUUCUGGGGCUCAACCCCAGCCUGCAUUUGAAACUGCUAGACUAGAAUAUCGGUGGGAGUAGUGGAAUUCCAUGUGUAGCGGUGGAAUGCAUAAAUAUAUGGAGGAACACCAGUGGCGAAGGCGGCUACUUGAACGAUUAUUGACACUUAAGCACGAAAGCGUGGGGAGCAAAUAGGAUUAGAUACCCUAGUAGUCCACGCCGUAAACGAUCUUGACUAGCUGUUGGUUUAACCAGUGGCGCAGCUAACGCAUUAAGUCAAGCGCCUGGGGAGUACGUGCGCAAGCAUAAAAACUCAAAGGAAUUGACGGGGACCCGCACAAGCGGUGGAGCAUGUGGAUUAAUUCGAAGAUACGCGAAGAACCUUACCUGCGUUUGACAUACUUGGCGAAGCUAUAGAGAUAUAGUGGAGGUUAACCGAUGUACAGGUGGUGCAUGGUUGUCGUCAGCUCGUGUCGUGAGAUGUUCGGUUAAGUCCGGCAACGAGCGCAACCCCUGUCUUAUGUUGCUAACAUUUAGUUGAGGACUCAUGAGAGACUGCCUGGGUAACCAGGAGGAAGGUGGGGAUGACGUCAAAUCAUCAUGCCCCUUAUAUGCAGGGCUUCACACGUGCUACAAUGGGGAUUACAAAGAGUCGCGAUACCGCGAGGUGGAGCUAAUCUCAAAAAAAUCCUCUCAGUCCGGAUUGGAGUCUGCAACUCGACUCCAUGAAGUUGGAAUCGCUAGUAAUCGUGAAUCAGCAAUGUCACGGUGAAUACGUUCUCGGGUCUUGUACACACCGCCCGUCAAACUACGGAAGUCGGCAAUGCCUAAAACCAGUGUCCUAACCUUUUGGAGGGAGCUGUCUAGGGUAGGGUUGAUGACUGG